rnacentral:rRNA from 1 species
UACGUAGGGUGCUAGCGUUGUUCGGAAUCAUUGGGCGUAAAGCGCGUGUAGGCGGUUAGUUAAGUCGGGUGUGAAAUCCCUGGGCUCAACCGAGGAAGUGCAUCCGAAACUAAUUAGCUAGAGAAUGGUAGAGGGAGGUGGAAUUCCGUGUGUAGAGGUGAAAUUCGUAGAUAUACGGAGGAAUACCGGUGGCGAAGGCGGCCUCCUGGACCAUUUCUGACGCUGAGACGCGAAAGCGUGGGGAGCGAACAGG